AAGACUAAUAUACGGAUAUCUCAGCUCUCGCAAUGAUGAAUACUUGGUGUGAAUUGUAGAAUUAUGUGAACCAUCGAGUUUGUGAACACAAGUUGCGCACGAAGCCAUUAUGUCGAGGGCACGUCUGCCUGGGCGUCA
rnacentral:rRNA from 1 species